rnacentral:rRNA from 1 species
GCUAAAUGUCCGGUCCGACCGAAGUCGGCGGACGGGUGAGUAACGCGUAGGAAUCUACCCGAGUAGUGGGGGAUAGCAAGGGAAACUUUGGGUAAUACCGCUACGAUCUAAGGAUGAAAGGGGGCCUCUCUUUGAUGCUCUCGCUAUUAGAUGAGCCUGCGUAAGAUUAGCUUGUUGGUGGGGUAAUGGCCCACCAAGGCGACGAUCUUUAGCUGGUCUGAGAGGAUGAUCAGUCACACUGGAACUGAGACACGGUCCAGACUCCUACGGGAGGCAGCACUCGGGAAUAUUGGACAAUGGGGGAAACCCUGAUCCAGCCAUGCCGCGUGUGUGAAGAAGGCCCUAGGGUUGUAAAGCACUUUUAAUAGUGAGGAAGGCUCAGUAGUUAAUACCUACUGGGAGUGACGUUAGCUACAAAAAAAGCACCGGCUAAUUUCGUGCCCGCAGCCGCGGGAAU